rnacentral:lncRNA from 1 species
GCCACGAGACUCAGCACCUUCCUCAAGAUUUCCUGGGCCAAGGAGCCAGUGCUGGUCUUGUCCUCUGUCAUCCGGAGCCUCACUGUAAUUCUACCCCCACUUAGUCCCCACACCAAGUACUCCAUCAUGAUCAACGAGGCAAGGCCCUACAACUACCCAGUGCCUGUCUGCAAUGAUGGGAACAUGCCCGAUGUGCCCAGCCACCCCCAGGACCCCCAAGGCCCCAGUUUGGAGUGGCUGAAGAAAUUGU